UGGAGUCAGAGGGGAAAGCGCCGGGAGCACUGACCUGGGAAGCUGGCCUCGGCCGCAGCCAUGAAGUGGAAUAUUUACUGGAAGGGCUCCUGCUGAAGCUGAAGCUCCAGUAUUUGGCACCUGAUGCAAAGACCUGAUUCGCUGGAAAACGCCCUGAUGCUGGGGAAGACUGAGGGCAGAAGGAGAAGGGGACGACAGAGGAUGAGAUGGCUGGAUGGCAUCACUGACUAGAUGGACACGAAUUUGAGUAAACGCCGGGAGAUGCUGAAGGACAGGGAAGCCUGGCGUGCUGCAGUCCAUGGGGUCGCAGAGAGUCGGACACGCCUGGGCGACUGAACAGCAGUCGUGAGCUGGGACUCAGUGUCCCUCACAGGGCGGGCCUGACGCCUGGACAAGGCAGUGUGGGCGCCCAGGACGCUGCUCCCGGUGGGGAGGGGCAGGGACUGCUCCGGUCCUGCCCCAGCCCCACCGCCAUCCCUCCUGGGGUUUCAAUCCUCCCCAGCUGGCAUCUGCAUCCUUUGAAGGACCUGUCUGGGGACACCUAGGUGGGGGAGGGACAGCCCCUCCAGGAGAGGUCUGCGCUCCGCCCCGGUGCCUCCUAGUGGGUCUCUCCAUCCUUGGCAGAGUGCCCGGGUGUGCAAGGAGGCCAGGGGUAGCUUGGUUUCGGACAACAAAGUCCUCUUUCUCCCCAGCCUGAGGAAUGCCUGGCACCUCUCCCGCCCCCGCCCCAUCCGUAUCUGUUACCCAGACCCAGUGCUCGCUCCGCGGGGCCCAGGCUGGGCAUGGGCUCCGCCCUGAGCCUCUGGGGCAGCGAGGACCCUCUGUGCUGUGGACGUGGCUUCCCUGCCCCUGAGCAGCCUCCCCUGCCUGCCAUCUCUCUUUCUCUCUCUCUCACACACACACACACGCACACACAUGCACACACACACGCACACACACACACGGUCCCCCGGAACAGCCCAGCCCUGGGCUCGCGGGCCUGAGCCCCAUUCAGAACCCAUGGCCGGCCCAGCCUGGGCCGUGGACGCCUGCAGCAGCCUGAGCAGGAGGACGAGCCCCCGAGGGUGAGCGCCGCCUCACCCUGUUGUUCCUGUGACUUUGUACUUGAUGAU
ensembl:lncRNA